CAUGAUUUUAUUAAAGUCUAGGAUGCUUAAGAUUAGAGAACAAACACUAUCAUCCAAAAGCAAAGAAGGGUCCCCAGAGUGAAAAUAAUUGCGAGGAUAAAGCCUAUUUUAGCAGAAAGGCUCCCUACAAAACCACCUCUAAAAUAAACAUCUGGGCAAGCGACUACAUCUAAUUUCAGAGCUGGGAAAGAGGCUGGCACACUCCUGGGUUGUGCCUGUGCUCGAGACGUUGGAAAACGUUCAAGCAGGGCCCUCAGGGAAGCUCGCGGUGCACCUGUGAUGCUGAGAUAAGAUGCCAAGUGUGGCUGCAGUGGGGACUCUCUCGAUGAGCUUCGCCCUCCUGAUUUCCCUUGGCUCAUCUUCAGACUGACAGUGAUGCCCGACCUCCCCAUCGAGAGUGCACCUGGGGAGAAGAGGCGACAGUCUUGAUUCAAAGUAACAAUCGCUUAGGCAAACAAGGCGUCUGGAGCCUUGCCUGCUACCAGGAGAGGGAGGUGGAGGGGCCCCGGGGAGGCUGGGGAUCCCGGCCCUGGGUGUGAGGAGCUCCCGUCUUGGUGAGCUCUGCUCUGUCAGUCCAGAGAGAGGCUUCUUCCUCCAACACGUGCUUUAUCUCAGCAGCAGCAAAAGCCCUGAUCUUGUAACCGCACGUCUUCAUCUGCCUUAGGGAGGCCCCGCCCUUACUGAGGCUGAGAUGCAGGCUGCAUUCUGCCAGGUCACAUCCCCUCCUAAUCUUUUCAGGACAUUUUAAUCUGCAGUGACUUUGAAAUGAGAAGGAGGGUCAGGAUCCCAUCACAACUCCAGGAUGGAAAAAGGUGAAUAGAGAGGUUUAAGAACCUGAUUGGUAUCCGUGAGGAUGUAGGUUCGAUCCCUGGCCUCACUCAGUGGGUUAAGGAUCUGGUGUUGCUUUGGCUGUGGUGUAGGCCGGCCGCUGCGGCUCCAAUUGGGAACCUCCGUAGGCCGCAGGUUCGGCCCUAAAAAGAAAAAAAUUAAUAAUGAGGGGAUGGGUGCCAUUGGCUGAAGCUGCGGAUGACAAAGUAGAAACCUGCCUGAGUUUCAACUCGGCGGCAGCUGAGCAGAAGGCACCUUUGCUCUUGAGGGACUGGCACACACGCUUGACUCUGAUCCUAAUCUAAUAUCCCCUGCCAGCCGACCUCAGACCCCAGGUUAACCAGGUCCACUGGGUGACAGCCCCGCCCUGGACCCAUAAUCCUCUGAGGCUGAGAGCAAACUUCGAGCCAGUGCUGACAGGUCGCCGCCUGGGACAACACACACCAACCAGAGAGCCCAAAGGGUAACUCCUGGUUCCUCCGUUAAUUUCGUUUUUGGGGCAAGAGCCGUAUUUUGUUAUAAUCCACCAGGAUUUCUGUCAUCUCUCAUGGCGCACAGUAGCAAUGUAAGCAAAUUCGUUUUGACAAACUUUCCAUUUUUAUUCUAUUUAAUAGCAACACCUUUCUUUUAUCUUGUUCAAAGAAUCAUCCCAGAUUCUCUAGGUUUUCAUGGAGACAACACAUUGAAUUGAUAUUUUUGAUUGAAACAAAGACGUUGGAAGCAAAUUUAAAUGAGACUUGUGGUUUUAUACGGCGGCAGCGGCUGUGUAACAGUUGAUAGGUUAGCGUCCCUUUAUUUUUCUUCAAAGGAAAAAAAUUCCAAUUGAAUGAUGCUUUGAAAAUAACUAACCGAAAGCAUGAGGGGCUUGUUUAGAUAGUUGAGGUGACAACAGAAAGUCAAGACUACACAUGUUCAUGUGUUUCCUCGGGAAGAAAAUCUCCAAUUUAUAUAGACUAGGGUGCUGCUGUCAUUUCCUCAGACAUGAUGCGCCACGAUGGAAAAGAUGGCUUUUCUUAAGGAAAUAUUAGAUGUAAUUUUUUUAAAAAAAAAAUGAGUAUAAAAAGUGACAUUUUUUUCCUUUCUCAAGGAUUUUCUCCGUAUCUCUUCAAAGUUUUAUUAUCUGAAGUUGACGUUUUCAACGCUGCUUGAGCAUGCUCAUCUUUCCAGCAGGACUUGGAGAUAUGACAGGGGUGUGUCUUCAGGACACAAGGAUUUUUUUUUCCCCCACCCAUGGCACAUGGGUGCGCCACAGCGGCCACAACGCCAGACCCUUAACCCAUUGCGCCAGCUGGAAGUUAAACCCUCUCCACCACCCAGACAACACUGGGUCCUUAACCUGGUGCACCACAGCGGGAACUCCCAGGACACAAGAAUCCUUCUUCUCCCGGUGGCUCCUACACGUGCUGUUUACUCCGCUCGUGUCCUCAUCUCAGCACCCUGUCCUCAGUCUGGGCUCCAUGCUGUGCCCUCUCAUCUGAACCCUUUCCCUCCCCUUCCCUGAGACGGCUUCCUUCCCGAUCUCGGCACAUUUCUCCCUGUUCACCAUCUUUUAAGAUUAAUCACAGAGAGUGCCCGUCAUGGCGCGGUGAAAACGAAACCGACUAGGAACCACGAGGUGUCGGGUUCGAUCCCCGGCCUUGCUCAGUGGGUUCAGGAUCCGGCGUUGCGUGAGCUGUGGUGUAGGUUGCAGACCAUGGCUCAGAUCUGGCGUUGCUGUGGCUGUGGUGUAGGCCGGCAGCCACAGCUCUGAUUCGACCCUGAGCCUGGGAACCUCCAUAUGCCAUGGGUGUGGCCCUAAACAAACAAACAAACAGACAAACAAAAAGAUGAAUCCCAGAUUACAGUGUUGAUGGGCAGCCCAAGUUCCCAAAACAGGGCGCGCCCAGAUCAAGGUAGAAAAUUGAUCGAAUUGGGUGGCCGAGAUCAAGUGGAUUUUGUGCAGCAACAGGCACGUGUCCCUCAGGCCCUCCUCCAGCAGUGUCAGCGCUGGAGCUCCGUGAUAAAACCAGGAGUGAGCAAAAAAGUCCUCCAAGCGAGGAGUCAAAUCGCUGUCACGGACCCCACAUAACUUUAUGCCUUUGAUUAAAUUUAACCAACAGUUAUGGAGCAUUUUCUACCUGUCAGACGCUGUCCUGGGUGGUGAGAAGCCUGAGAUGAAUAAUUUAGCUCCCUCACCUUCUUCCAGAAAGGAUCUGAGGCAGCUGGCAGCAGAAACAUAUAAAAUAAAUGGCCACAUAUGGGUUUUUAAACUGGGCAAAGCCAAUAGAAAUUAAAAUAGGUCACAUCCAGGGGGAAAAAGCGCCUGGAUCCAUGGCCAAGGACAGCCUUGGUAAUGGUGACACUUGAGCUGUGAGUCUGACGCCAAGCGCGCUCAGCGGCCACGGGGAGCGGGGGACGCGGCCAGAGACGGGUUUCCGUCGUGGAAACAGAGAGAAGGUGCAGUUACUCGAGGGGACGAAGCUGAAGAAGACGUGCUUCCUAAUCGCGAGGAGUUCGUAAUCCAGCCGCAGAGACGGAGCAUCUGCAGACAGAGCUGUGUUAUGACAAGUCUGCAGCAAGCGCUAAGGGGAGGCAGAGAGGGAAGCGGUUUCCUGGGCUUGAGAAGGAGAGGCUGCUGUCUGAACAGAGACGGAGGAGGUGCCCGCGGGUGAGACCGAGGCACCGAGUGGGGAGACUUCAGAGGAGCAGCCCGCAGCUCCGAGCACCUAAAAGUUGCCUCCAGGGCUUGUGGAGAGGCUCUGAGUCAGCAGGGCUGGGGCUUUGGGCACGCACACUCCAGAAGGCCAGGUCUAGGGCUGAGGGCCGGACUCGGAGAAAGGCGGGGGGAGAUUCUCGCCGCGUUGCACGGUGUCCAAGAGUGAGCGAUGAGGUUGGGAAGCAGGCUGGACCCGCUCGGGGUGGGCCUGGGAUGCCAGGUAGAAACUUGGACCUCGUGGAUGACGGGGAAGCGCGGCAGGCAUGAUGCUAUAUCGGAUGUGUGUGUGUGUGUGUGUGUGUGUGUGUGUGUGUGUGUGCGCCUGGGUUUUACUUUCUCCUGAGCACAAAUGCAGCAGCGAGAGGAUGAGAAGAGGGAAGAAAGAGACCAGGACAGGGAACCAACCACAAAUGUUGCAGGGUCCAAAAAUCAGAGCGGAUCGGAGUGGGCUUAGGGUGGCGGCAGGGGAAGGGGAGAAGCUGAGCACCUUUCCGCAGGGAGUGUGACCCGUCACUGGAUUAUUCGCCGCAGGUUUUCUUUUCUGGUUCAUCUGCUGUUUUUGUGACGCACCUACUCUGAUUUUACCCCAGCUUCUGCUCUCUGGUGUCUGGCCUAAACCAACGAGCUGUCCCAUGAACUGCAGGGGAGCAGGUCCUUGCUGGGCUUGGCCAGGAGCCUUGGCGGACGGUGGGUGGCUUUGGCAAACCGGGAGGGACACUCAUUCCCUGGCGAGUAGGAAGGCAGUCUCCUGUGGUGAACUCACAUCGGGGAGCUGUGUGGUGCACACAGUUUUGGAGUUUCCCUUUUUUGUCUUUUUAGGGCCACAUCUGCGGCUUAUGGAUGUUCCCAGGCUAGGAGUCGAACUGGCACUGCCCCUGCUGGCCUGCACCACAGCCGCAGCAACAUGGGAUCCUUAACCUACAGAGCAAGGCCAAGGAUCGGACCUGCGUCCUCAUGGAUACUAAUGGGGUUCGUUAUGGCUAAGUCACAACAGGAACUCCCUGGGGUUUCCUUUUAUAUGUUUACACAUUUCUAAAACUCUGUUUUGGAGUUCCCUGGUGGCUCAGCCAAUUAAAGACCCAGCAGUUAUUAUCACUGCUGUAGCCCAGGUUACAGCUGUAGCUCAGGUUCUAUCCCUGGCCUGGGAACUUCCAAAUACCACAGUCCAGCCAAAAAACCAAAAAAACCAAAAUGCCAAACACCCCCCUCCCCCCGCCGCCACCAACUGUCUUUUUAGAGACAAAAUGGAGAUGAUAGCCAUGAAAUCCUCAAAACCAGCUACUCGGGUUCUGCAGUUUCAAGAUUUUUGUAACCUUUGUUCUGCUACAGUGAGGUAGGAUUGACAAAUAAAACUGCACCUGUUUGCAGUGUACAGCGAGAUGAUUUGACACGUGCGUUUGUGACAUGAUCACCGCAAUUAGCAUUGCCACACAUCCACUCCCCAGAACCUUCUUUUGGUGGUGAUAACACUGCAGCUUUACUUUCUUGGCAACCUUCAAGUAAACAGCACAGUCUUAACUCCAGUCACCAAGCUGAACACGAGCUCUCCAGAGCUACUCGUCUCCUAACUGCAGACGCGUACCCUGCGACCAGCUCCUCCCUCUCCCCCCUUCCUGACCCCUGGUUACCUCCAUUCUACUCUCUUUCUAGAAUCCAACUUUUUUAGACUUCUUGUAUGCGUGAAACGCUACAGUAUUUGUCUUUCUCUGUCCAACUAAUUUCACUUAGCAUAAUGUCCUCUAGGUUUGUCCGGGUCAUUGGGAAUGGCCCUCUUUCCUUCCUUCUCAGGGCUAAAUAAUACUCCAUUCUAUACAUACCACGUCUUCUCUGAGUUCCUGCCGUGGCGCAGUGGUUAACGAAUUUGACUAGGGACCAAGAGGUUGUGGGUUGGAUCCCUGGCCUUGCUCAGUGGGUUAGGGAUCCAGCGUUGCCAUGAGCUGUGGUGUAGGUCGCAGAUGCGGCUCGGAUCCCGCAUUGCUGUGGCUGGGGUGUAGGCCAGCGGCUACAGCUCCGAUUCA
rnacentral:lncRNA from 1 species